GUGAACCAAAUCCCACUGAUUUCUUUGUGCAAGAAGAGGUAAAGGAGGGUCAAACUGUAUCUGCAUUCUGCUCUGUGUCUCACUCCUGCCCCACAUAUCCACCUGAUUUCCACUGGAGUCACUCUGGAGAGCGACAUUUUAGACACAGAAUCUUCAAAUGGCCAGUGGAAAGCAACAUCUACUCUGACCUUUCACUCAGACCGCACUGAUCACAACAAACCUUUACAAUGCAGGGUAACAUACCACGGAGGAAAGCAGCGGAAACAUCCAAGACCAUUAAAGUAAAAUAUGCUCCAGUGAAUGUGAAGGUUGAGUACCAGUCAGAUGUGAAUGAGGGAGAAACUGCACACCUGAAGUGCUCCAGUGAUGCAAACCCUGUCAGCAGCUAUGAGUGGCACAGUGAAACUGGAGCUCUGCUGAAUAAGGGACAAACCUACACAAUGUCAAAUGUCUCCAGACACUCAGAGGCCGUGUACUGCACUGCUGUCAAUGAGGAAGGACGAGUCAGAUCAAGCACCGUGAGCUCAAUGUGUUAUGUAAGUAAACAAUACAAGAAAUAUAACAACAGAAGAGAUUUUUCUUUUCAUUCAAACAUAUAAAAUAAUGUAUGGUUAUCUGUAGAUGCUAAUUAUAUCUGCUGUCUAACAGAUGCCCUGACAUUGAGACUUACUCUAAGUGUUCCUCAUAUAACGGCAUAGUAAAGUGUGAUUGCAUCGUACAGUCCAGGCCUCCCAGCAUGGUCCAUUUUGUUCUUGGUGACAGAGUCCUGCAAAUCACCAAAUUAGAGAAAAAUGGCUCUGUUACUACUGGGACUCUGCAGACAGACUUUGGGUCCUUCAAGUUUGUGCACUGCCUGGCAAACAACACAUUGGGAAAUGCUAAUCUCACACUAUCGUUACCUGCUAAUGACAACAUGCAGAAUAUUUUCAUAGCCUCUGGAGCAGGUGUGAUUUUUCUGAUAAUUCUGAUAGCCAUUGGAGUGGGAACUGUUAAAAGAUGCAGGGGGCAAUCAGAUGGCACACCAAAAUCUGACUUAAGCACCAUGAGGUCAGACAGACCUGCGGAGCCCCUCGUUAUGCUCAAACAAAAAGGAAGGAGAACUAUGAGGAUGUCCAUUGCAAUGACAUUUACACCAAUGACAGUGUGUAUGGGAACAUGGAGACUGACUGGGAUGAAUCAGUAUACGCCAACAUGUAAUAUAUGUGGAAGACCAGCUGCGGUCAGGUCGGAGUCAAGGAAAAAGAAAAAUCCUAGUGCUAUAUUCAUCUUAUACCACAUACAUAUUAUAUCUCAGUUUUCCUGUCAUCUGUCAUUCACAUUUCUUUGUAAAAUAUUGUAAGUAAGAGAAGUUCUGUUUUGUACUUUUGUUUGUCUGAUCAAAUAAUGUGCUUUGAAAAAUUACCAUUAAAGUUUUGCAAUAAUUACAAAGUUGUCAAGUUACUAAAUAUGUUUAUUAGCUGUUUUAUCGCUAUUGUUUUUGUGAUUAGUUAUUGAACAACAGCACAAGCGUUGCCUAUCCUCUUUAUAAAAAAUGACAUUUAACACAUAGUAGCUGUUAAUGUUUUAACUGGAGAAAAUACUCAGGAAAGCGUGUAAAUUUUAAAACUUAUAUUAACUACAUUGUGAGUUAAUUAAAUGUGCA
ensembl:lncRNA